GCGCGCUCCGGGCACCCCCCCGGGAGAAGGGUAAAAUUCCUUACGGAAGAAUAAGGGCCGAGUACAGGGCUGUCCUGGCCCGGAUCCUGCAGGGAUCAGCUCCUGCAGCGCCCUGUUCCUGUGCCACGGGCUGUCCGUGCGCAUCCUCCUUGUGCCAUGUCCCCGGGUGUUCUGACGCCCGCUCGGUGCCCCCAGAGUGACACCGACAUGGGACAAACAGUUUCACUUUGGGGUUUCUGGCAGUGCUGUCCUCUGCAGGAUGUGGUGUUGCAGUUGAACCACACAGGAGAGCAGGGCUGAGAAAUGCAAUUUGCUCUUUCUCUACUUUCUUCUGUGCACUGAUGUUCUCCUGUGAAGGCUGGUGCAUGCUUUUCCCAGGGCAUGCUGUGAGAGACGCCUUGAUGUUUUAGGAGAGGAUUUUGGGCAGAAGGUUUUGUGUUUUGCUUUGUUUGCCUUGCCCAGACUGUGCCAGUCCCCGGGAGGUGACACUUGUGUCAGUCCUGAAGGUGUGGCUGGGGCUGUCAGAUGAUGGCAGGGCCUUUGAAAAUAGAGUAAAUGUUGGAACAAAAUGUUUA